UCAGUGAAUAUUUACACAGUUGUGUGUUUUCGCAACUCCCUCUCUCUCCUUUUACGCUCCUGACCUUAUUCCUCUGGGUGUUUGCCGCGCCACCGUGUUGUGGCGGCAACCCGCCAACCCCUUUGUUUGUUUCGUGUCUUACGUUGGCUGCCCUUCUCCCUUCCUUCACCUUUCAGUUUUCAAUAAGGUGGCGGUCGCUCUUCCUGUCACGGCGGCGAAGAUUCGGAUCGCGCGAUCUGGGUCGUGUUCGCCUCCCUUGGGCUUGCUGUGCUGCGGAUUUUUGUGCUUCUUGUGCCACCCUUCCAUCCAGCCGUCAGUCCUUCCGUUUUACCAACUCUCUUCUGUCGUAUGCUGAGGUGUUUUUCUUAGAUAUGGUUUGUCUUCAUCAUGUCUCGUUGAGAGCUUUGAAGUUGCGUUGGAGGUUGGUACCGACCUUGGGUUUUAGGUCGAGUUCUGUUGGAGAUCCUACAGAGUGGUCGAUCUCUGUUUUCUUUCCCCUGUUUUUCCCUUGCGGUUUUGGUGCCUCAGUGUUGGCGGUGUGCUCUUUUCGCCCUUGUCUUUGGUGUUGAUUCAUGGCAGUGACUAUGGAGCCGUUUUCUUGGCUUCACAAGCGUUCUGUUUGCUGGGGAAGAUAUAGGUACUGAUAGUGAUUUGGUCAUCAAGGUUCUCGAAGAAGCUGGGUUUUCACAUGACAGUUUGAAUUUUAUACGCAAGUUGGCCUGCAAGGGGAACAUUGCACAUGAGGUGGUAAGACCAAACAACACUUUUGAGAAGCUUGAUGAUUUUCUAGAGGAGCUUAUGCAGAUUCGUGCUAUUUCAAGUUGAUAAAUACACAUCUCACUGUAUUGCAUCAGUUGGUUUUUAUGCACUUCAUUCAGUAUCUUUCUUGCUUUCCAAAAAAAAAGAUUUUACUUGAAGAGUAGAAAGUUCUAGGCAGGUGAUGUUGAGGUCGACAAUGGUGUUUCCAGGGUGAUGUUGUUUAGGUGGUUGUGACUCCGCUCUGAUCUCGUUGUCCGGUUUGCUGGUCCGGCCAAAUCAGCAUCGCGACUGAUUUCUUGGGUGGUUUUUAUGUUUUCGCUUUCAAGUCGUUGUCCCGUCCUGAUUUGCGUCCCCUCCUAUGGCGGGAUGGAUUCAAUUUUUGUCGGGUUAUGAGGCUUUCGCUAAUUCCCUAUUGCUUGGGGUUUAUCCAAAUUGCAGGUGUGUUUUAGGUGUUGUGUUUCAAUAGUUUCUUUACAAGUUGAUGCACCAAAUCAAUUUGAUUUUAGGCUUCCUUGUGUAUUAUAGGAGGGGAUGUUGCUCACUUAAUUUUUAUUAUGAACCUUUUCCAUCUAAUAUAAAUUUGUGCUUUCUAAAAAAAUAAAUAGGCUAGUUGAGACUCUUGUUAGGCACCUCAUCUCACCUCUUUUCUUCUAAUCCUUAUUUUAGUUAUUUUUCUUAUGGCUUGCUCAACUUUUAUGUUAGUAUGAGGGUUCUUAAUUUUCAUGCGUUUGCAUAUCUGAGAUUUUUCCCUUAAUAGUAAUUCAUCUUUUUAUUUAAAGUUGAUUUAUAAUUUUUACACAUGUUUGAAUAUGCGUUCUAUUCAUGACGUAUGAAUUCAAAGUUUUAUUCUGUUCUAUUUGUCUUAUCUAAGCGAGUGAAUCAGUGAAGCGAUGGUGAAUACUGUUAUCAAAGGUAUGUACAUCUCUAACACUGAUUGGUUGUUUACUUUGAUGAUCUUGUCUCUUAAGACCGUUCUUGUACUUUGAGGGGACGAUGUCUCUUUCUUAACAUGAACAAAUCAAAUAUUGGACGAUCGUCCGGUAGAGGAUUUAGGAUUCCAACUCACAAUUGUGAGUUGAGUUUCUACUCAGAUACUUGAAUAAAUAAUUGAAUUAAUCUCCUGUGACCGGUGAAGGUUUUGUUGCACUUGACUAUUACAACCCGUAGACUAACGUUUUUCCAAUUUGAUAAUCCAAUUGGUUGAUAUACUGCUUGAUAAUCAAUCAACCCUCUUACUUGCUUUCAUCUCUGAAUUUUGUUUAUAAGUCACUUAAGUCAAGAAAGUGAUCAUGGUGUUACACUUUGUACUGCACUAUCAAUUUAAUUGCAGAAUUAUUUUGACACGCACUUGCGACUAUGCGUUCGUCAUAGAGAAGAAAAAAUAAGUGUAUUAUGUAAUUUCACCUUAUCUCACCUUUCAAACAUGGAGGGGUUUUUCUUAAUAAAUUUUUAUUUUUUACUCUAUAUUUUCUUUUUCGUGAAUGUUAACGUGUUAAAAUCUUAUAUCUUUGAUUCAUGUUCAACAUAAUGUGUUAAUUUCUCGGUCUCAUUAAUUCUAACCCUAAAUCAAACUUGCACUAAGUGAGCAUGUCCAAAUAUAUUGUAUUCAGCCCCUAAGAAUUAGUCAUCAAUAUCCACACUUUAUAAUUUAUACCAGUAUUUUUAAAACUGAACCAAAAUAUUGAACCGGUCAAAAUACCGAUUAAAGGUUUAAAACUUAAAUGUUUCAAAAAUAGUUGAAUCGAUAAUAAUCAAAUAAUAUUAAUUUACUAUAAGAUAUAUUAUUUAUUAUUAAAAAUUAUAAUUAACAGCACAACCUCACAACACUAAAAGUGAAAAGUGAAAAUUAAUUAACACUAUUCUAUGGAUUAACACUAUGAGAACCAAGUUCAAAAUGUAGUUUUGCAAAUAGGGAUUGGAUAUAAGAGACUGCCAAAACCUAAGCUGUAAAUAAACUAAAAUAUCAAUGUUAUGCUGCUACUUGAAGGAUAGCUUUGCUUGUGUGAAUGAAUUCUAUGAUGUUAAACAUUUCUAUCAUUCCCCUGCAAUAUUAUUUCUCUGUUGUCCUGUGCAAGUUGCAAGGUUGAUUUAUCCUCGUACAAUUUUAAAUACAGCCUUCUUAUAUAUCUUUAUUUUGAGUUAUGAAUUUGUUUUAACUGUACGUAUGACAUAUUUGUUAAUUAUAAUAUGGUCUAUGUGGCCCAUUAUAUGUGUAUGGGGUGAAAAAGAAGAGAAAGAUAAGAACAAAGGAGAAGAAAAUGUUAAAGAUAUGAAAUGAAAAAAAGUGGAAAUAUGAAUGAAUCAUGCCUUUGAUAUGCCUUGCGAUUGCCUAAUUAUUUGAAGUAUCAAGUUUACUCAAGAACAGAGCAAAUACAUUUUUUAAAAUAAGAUAAUUGACUACAACACGUGGUAAAAUUCAAUCUUAAGCAUGCUAAAAUAAUAGAAAGAAUCAAUUUACCAUAACACAUGCAAAUACACAGUGAUUACAUCAUGGUCAAUUUCUCAUAAUAAAAAGGAGAAAUAUCUACUACUUCUUAUCUGUGAACCUCCUUUUCACUGUAGCUAAAAGACCUCCAAUGGAGUAGCGACACCUGUCCUGCUUUCUGACCUUUUUUUAUUUUUUUUUCACUCUGAAAGUUGAAAAUGAUGUCGUUUCCGCUUCAGCACUGUUUCUCUCCAAUCUCUCAUCAACCCUAGCUGGCAAUCGCGUGUUUCCUCUCCUUUCUACCCACUCUGCCGUACAAUUCAUCAUCUUUCGUUUCUCUUCCGCCUCCAAUCUCCCUUCAACCCUAGCUGGCAAUCAUGUCACCUUGACCAGAAGAUCUGCUUUCCACGAUCUGCGGCUUCUUCUCAUGGCUUCUCCGGUGCUGGCUUUCACGUCAAUCCUUCAACCAAUACGUGGGGUGAGAAGAUUGAAGCAAAUGUGCAGCAAUCAAUGAUACCAAAAUUAUGUAGUUGCUUCCUGGAACAUGUAUUCAAUUGAUCUUGGCUGGAGUAACUAUACUUGAUUUUAAUCACUUCCUUUGAGUUGUUAUUACUGUUGAUUUUGAAUACUGGAAGCAUGUAGUUUCCAAGUCUUAUCUAAAUGGGAUGGGAAUUCAAUAGUCCAAUAUGUGGGAUGUUAUGGAUAUGAGAUCGAUCCAUGGAGGGUUUGCUGCAACUUUGAAGGAUUUGAAAGUUUGGGUAAUGAAUGUGGUUACAAUAGAUACACUUCCUAUUAAUUAUGAACGAGAUCCUAUGAAUCAACAUUACAUGCUUUGUACCAGUCCUAUGUAUCAUCUUUGGAAAGUUUUGGUGCACACAUCUUAGCGUAAGAUCCAUAUUCUGCUCAUAAUUAAGAAUUGAUUUGCUCUAUUAACACAAAUACUAUGGGAUGCAUCUUGAAAUUGAAUGGAAGAAAACAACCAAACUAUCUUAUUCCUUUGCAGAAGGAUGGAGAAUGUCAUCGCAUCACAUUAUGGUUAUUAGCGGUCCGUCAAUAUUGAUGUAGAGACCUUGCCAUGGGUUCCUCACACUUAGGGUUGAUUUUGCUGAUGAGAGAACUCUGCCAUAAUUGACUUUGACAGACAUCAGAGAGACUUUCAAGAGGCUUGUGGCUGAAUUGAAGAAGACCCCUCAAGAAAUCUUGGGUGCUAUGAAGAACCAAACUGUAGAUUUGGUCUCAACUGGUCACCCUACUCAGUCUGUCAGUAGAUCUUUACUGCAAUAGCAUGGAAGGUCUGUCCAUGACUUUACUUUCCUGUCAUAACUAAGGAGGACUUAUGUAGUUCAUUUGUUGUAGAAGUUUCUUUUUGGAAGAAGAAAUUCAAAUAGGAAAAGAAAAAAAACAAAGUUACCUCUAGGAGUUCCCAUAAGGGAAGUUCCCUUCCACAUCCUAUCAUUUAGAUUCAUUGGAAACUGGAAAUGCAUGUCUUGUAUAAACAAGAAAUGUUAAUAUUGUUUCUGGAAUUGUGACAAUUAUAGAAUAAAGCUCAAUCUUUUUUGUUGGUGAUCAUUUUCUUAUUUU